rnacentral:rRNA from 1 species
UACGUAGGGUGCAAGCGUUGUCCGGAAUUAUUGGGCGUAAAGAGCUCGUAGGCGGUUUGUUGCGUCGGCUGUGAAAACCUGAGGCUCAACCUCAGGCCUGCAGUCGAUACGAGCAGACUAGAGUGUUGCAGGGGAGACUGGAAUUCCUGGUGUAGCGGUGAAAUGCGCAGAUAUCAGGAGGAACACCGGUGGCGAAGGCGGGUCUCUGGGCAACAACUGACGCUGAGGAGCGGAAGCGUGGGGAGCGAACAGG